GUUGUCAUGGCCGAGUUUGUAAGGCGAUGGACUAAAAAUCUUUUGGGAUCUUCACGCGCAGGUUCGAAUCCUGUAGACAUCG
rnacentral:tRNA from 1 species